CACUUUGAUCUUCAGGGUUUGUGAUGAACACAAUGUGGGGAAAGAGAAAUGUGUUGAACCCCAAAGAAAAAGGAGCAGAUCCCAUCCAAGUCCGCACCUCUGAAGAAAUCUAUCCUGGGUGGUCGGUGUCUCAGAAGCAGCCCCUUUGUGACACUGGUCACUACAAGCAGCUGCAUCCAAAGCUCGUCUGUUCGUCCAUGAACCACUCGGUUCCUUCUGUGGGUGUUCUACCCUUAUAUUCUGUUUCAAACAUGCAUUUCAACUUUACAUAAUUAGUAUAUAAUGUCUCAAAAUAGAAGCCAAUCUUUAGUUGUGCCAAAGGUCUUUGUUCUACCGUUUUCUUUGAAGCCAGUUGCCACCAAUGCUACCAAAAUGUUACCGGACAGCGUUUGUAUACUGUAGGUUGGACAGUGUAUAUACUGUAGGUUUGAUGGUGUAUAAUUGUAUGUUUAUAUGCUGUAGGGUUGGCAGUGUAUAUCUUAUAUGCUGUAGGUUUGACAGUGUUUAUCUAGAUUUAUACUGUAGAUUUGACAGCGUACCGGUACAUAUACUGUAGGUUUGACAGUGUAUAUUUGUAUCUGUAUAUACUGUUGGUUUUACAGUGUGUAAUUGUAUGUGUAUACUGUAGGUUUGAAAGUGUAUAUUUGUAUGUGUAUUUACUAGGGAUGGGCAUUUGGUUAAAUUGUCUUGGUCGAUCUUCGGGAGAAUUAACGAUCAAUUAGCCGAUUAAUCAUUAAUAUUUUAUGUUAAAAUUAAGUAUUUAUAUGCUAUAUUCAAAAUGCAAUGAAAAUACAAAAACGGCGUGUUUUCCCCAUUGGGAUCUUUAUUAUUAGAUGAACGACUCGAUUAUUAGAUGAACGAGUUAAACCGGAUCCGUUCAAUGGUUAUGCGUUACUGUGCUCUGAGCAACGGAGCCUGCAGCUCGGAGCCGGUGGUCAUAAACUAAAAAUGA